UAGAACUUACAGCUCUUUUAGAAUUUACCUAGCAAGCCUUCUGGUUCUACCACUGAGAGACCACC
ensembl:snRNA U7 U7 small nuclear RNA